rnacentral:lncRNA from 1 species
GAUUGCCAUAUUGACUUGUUAUGUGUCUACUUGCUCUAUAUCUUGUUAUUUAUACUUUACCAUGUUGUAUAUAUAUGUUUUGCUCUGUUUUUUCUAACAUAUGAUUUUAAUAUAUACUUAUAUUCUACAUAGUGUGUUGAUGUUGUUGUAAUUGUGAUAUAUUAAAACUAUUAGUGCAUGAGGUGUGGGCUACUGUUGUGGGACAUUUUCUGAUUGCAUGUGAU